UACGUAGGGUGCAAGCGUUGUCCGGAAUUAUUGGGCGUAAAGAGCUCGUAGGCGGUCUGUCGCGUCGAAUGUGAAAACCCGGGGGCUCAACCCCGGGCCUGCAUUCGAUACGGGCAGACUAGAGUUCGGUAGGGGAGUCUGGAAUCCUGGUGUAGCGGUGAAAUGCGCAGAUAUCAGGAGGAACACCGGUGGCGAAGGCGGGACUCUGGGCCGAUACUGACGCUGAGGAGCGAAAGCGUGGGGAGCAAACAGG
rnacentral:rRNA from 1 species